AGCGCUGUAUUUCCUGGUUCAACAAGCUCUUAUCAUUAUGCUUGAUGGAUCUCACAGGUAAACAAUAAAACAGUCCCGUCACAGACGAGUAGCAGUUUUCAUUGAACACGAGAGGAAGCUGAGUGUGACGCCGACUCACUUUGUCUUGGUGGGUACGACAAAGUUAUCGUUCAGACAUGGUCGAUUUAUGCUCGUCUGGUUUCCCAUUUCCUGUUCUCGUUCCAAUAAUUAAGAGCAUAUAAAGCUUUCGUCGCAAUGUUCUCUGUGUAUCCAUUCAAGUAUUCUAUCAGAUAAUUCCUUCAUACAAAAACAAUGGGUGCAUAAUUGUUCUAUUACUUGAAAAAAAAAAAAAGGAGAGAUUGGGCAUCAGAAUGCAUUGCAAACAGUAUUUUCUCAAAUUAUAGUUGCACAAAAGAAGAAAAUAAAAUAUGCAAAUGAUAGAUUUAGUGAAAGAUUUACAACAAAGUUUUGUAAGUCAGCAAUACAGUUCUAACAGGGAACUGUCCAUCAGAAGCAAGGAUAGUCGCACACUGCCUUAAAAAACCAGCACAGUAACAAAAAAGAAAGAGCAUAAAAAAGAACAAACUUAAACCUUGCAAAUUCAAAUAUGAAAAUAAUAGAGAAAGAAACCAAAACCCAUACCAUCGUCCCCACCACCAAUCUACCCGCUCAUAAUUUAACGAGCUAAUUAUAAAUUAUCAUCCGUAGUUAAUUUAUCUUUAAUAUUCUGAUCCUUACAUUUUAAAAAAUUAUAUUGACAUCCAUAUAAUUACGAAAAUAAAACAUCUAGAUUCAUUUAUGUUAAUGUUAU
rnacentral:lncRNA from 1 species